rnacentral:rRNA from 1 species
UACGUAGGGUGCAAGCGUUGUCCGGAAUUAUUGGGCGUAAAGAGCUCGUAGGCGGUCUGUCGCGUCGGCUGUGAAAUCCCGAGGCUCAACCUCGGGUCUGCAGUCGAUACGAGCAAACUAGAGUGUUGCAGGGGAGACUGGAAUUCCUGGUGUAGCGGUGAAAUGCGCAGAUAUCAGAAAGAACACCCGUGGCGAAAGCGGCUCUCUGGAACGGUACUGACGCUGAGACGCGAAAGCGUGGGGAGCGAACAGG